UUCCGGUUGAUCCUGCCGGACCUGACUGCUAUCGGAUUGAUACUAAGCCAUGCGAGUCAUUGUAGCAAUACAAGGCAGACGGCUCAGUAACGCGUAGUCAACCUAACCUAUGGACGGGAAUAACCUCGGGAAACUGAGAAUAAUGCCCGAUAGAACACUAUAUCUGGAAUGGUUUGUGUUCCAAAUGAUUUAUCGCCGUAGGAUGGGACUGCGGCCUAUCAGUUUGUUGGUGAGGUAAUGGCCCACCAAGACUAUUACAGGUACGGGCUCUGAGAGGAGUAGCCCGGAGAUGGGUACUGAGACACGGACCCAGGCCCUAUGGGGCGCAGCAGGCGAGAAAACUUUGCAAUGUGCGAAAGCACGACAAGGUUAAUCCGAGUGGUUUCUGCUAAAGGAACCUUUUGUCGGUCCUAGAAACACCGAUGAAUAAGGGGUGGGCAAGUUCUGGUGUCAGCCGCCGCGGUAAAACCAGCACCUCAAGUGGUCAGGAUGAUUAUUGGGCCUAAAGCAUCCGUAGCCUGCUUUGUUAGUUUUCGGUUAAAUCUAUACGCUCAACGUAUAGGCUGCCGGGAAUACUGCAAAGCUAGGGAGUGGGAGAGGUAGACGGUACUCGGUAGGAAGGGGUAAAAUCCUUUGAUCUAUUGAUGACCACCUGUGGCGAAGGCGGUCUACCAGAACACGUCCGACGGUGAGGGAUGAAAGCUGGGGGAGCAAACCGGAUUAGAUACCCGGGUAGUCCCAGCCGUAACCAUGCAAACUCAGUGAUGCAUUGGCUUGUGGGCAAUGCAGUGCUGCAGGGAAGCCGUUAAGUUUGCCGCCUGGGAAGUACGUACGCAAGUAUGAAACUUAAAGGAAUUGGGCGGGGGAGCACCACAGGGGUGAAGCCUGCGGUUCAAUUGGAGUCACGCCGGGA
rnacentral:rRNA from 1 species